UUUAACAGAACGCGGCUGACUGAUUGCUAAAUUGAUUUUAAAUGAAAUGCAAAUACGGAAAAAAUCCACUCCCCGGCAAAAAAAAUUAAGGAAAUCACCCAAUAAGUCCCACUGAUGAUAAUGACAAUCUAUUUUAUCGCACUGAUUGCUGUCAAACAUCACUGAUAUGAAACAAGAGGUUUGGUUGGUAAAUCGAUGGGAGAAUGGAUAAGCCGUAAAAACAAAUUUAAUAACUACACUAAUCAAGACUGGAGCUUUGCCCUACAAAUUUGUUACAUAUUUUAAAUUCUAUAAGAUAAAAAUAAAUGUAUUAGGUCUGGGUGACUUGGACCUGCUGCUUGUAUCACCAAU